rnacentral:rRNA from 1 species
UACGGAGGGUGCAAGCGUUGUCCGGAAUCACUGGGCGUAAAGGGCGCGUAGGCGGCCUGCUAAGUCGAACGUGAAAUCCCCGGGCUCAACCCGGGAACUGCGUCCGAUACUGACAGGCUUGAAUCCGGGAGAGGGAUGUGGAAUUCCAGGUGUAGCGGUGAAAUGCGUAGAUAUCUGGAGGAACACCGGUGGCGAAGGCGGCAUCCUGGACCGGUAUUGACGCUGAUGCGCGAAAGCCAGGGGAGCAAACGGG